rnacentral:lncRNA from 1 species
AAAAAAAGAGCAAUAAGUUUACGUGGGAACUCCCAAUUCAUACACCGAAGGCUGCCUUUAUAAUUAUGAUAUUCAUGUCCUAUAAUUUUUCAUGAAGAAUAUAUUUAGUUCUCUAUAUGUUUAUAUAUUGUUGUUUCAUGCUCCUUGUUCUUAAAAAAUAAAACGCCAUAAAUUUGAAAAUAAUUCAUAAAAAUUUUAAGUUUGGAGCUUCAAAUUUGAAAUUUUGGGAAAAAAAGAAUGAUUCCAAAUUUUUGUGGACAAAAAAAAAAUGGAAUGGUUAUUCAAGUAGUAGUGGUUAUUCACGUUCCAUUUUUUCUGUGCAAUGGCCUUUCCAAGUUUACAUUCAAGUAGUAGUGGAUAAUUAAUAUAGGAAAAUAGUGAAUUG